UACGUAGGCGGAAAAUUAAGUCAGUGGUGAAAUCCUGCAGUUUAACUGUAGAACUGUCAUUGAUACUGGUUUUCUUGAAUAUAGUUGAGGUAGGCGGAAUGUGUAAUGUAGCGGUGAAAUGCUUAGAUAUUACACAGAACACCGAUUGCGAAGGCAGCUUACUAAGCUAUGAUUGACGCUGAGGUACGAAAGCGUGGGGAGCGAACAGGAUUAGAUACCCUGGUAGUCC
rnacentral:rRNA from 1 species